rnacentral:tRNA from 1 species
GGCCGGGUGGCCUAAUGGUAAGGCGUUUGUUUUCGGUGGUUAUUCAAUAGCUGCAGCUCACAAAAGAUUGAGGGUUCGAGUCCCUUCCCGGUCG